rnacentral:sRNA from 1 species
CCUUUACUGUGGCAAAGGUCAAGUUGUUGGCAUACGUAAUUGUGAAUCUGCAAAAAAGAAGGAAAAGAAAAGCAAUGCAUAAUCCUCAUUAGAUCAGGCAAACAUGAAAAAUAACAUCAACUGAGAGUAUGUGAAAAAAGAAUUAGAUGGCUUAACCCAGCAGCUUGGCCAUCCACAUGCCAUGCUCUCCAGUCAUCAACUAUGAAGAAGUUAAAGGAUCUUAUCCAUGCCUGAGUGCUCAAAAAUGGCACCUUGAGAUCAUGGUCACCGCUGCACUCACAGAUGAACAUAUCAUUAUGAUUUUAAGAUGCAGAAUAAUGUUCAUCAUGUAUGAAUGAUGCAGAUAACUGAAUUUUCUCCUUUGAUGCUUUCACCUCAUCACAAGUGCUCGGUAACCUCUUGUGGUGAGAUUAAAAUGGUAAUCCAAGGCGUUUGGGAUGUCUUUAGCAUAGGGAAAUACACCUCUAUUUCAUCUUAACCACUCACCAAUGGUUCCCUGUAGCCAUAUUUGUACAAUUAGUGCAUCAGUCAUACUUACUUAGCGACCUAAUUAGUUAACAAAAUCAUGCUCUUAUCCCCUAUAUAUGCCCAUGCUUGUAAAUGCAGAACAUAUCAUAUGGUUACCUUCUUGAUCUUAAGAGCAUCUCUAGUCGUAUUGUCAUUCAUCCAGCAGUAUGAUAGGUAGUAACCAUAUGACUGAAUUCAAGAAAGAAAUGAUAAGCAAAUUAACAUUACAAAAAGAGGAAGGUGAACACUGCAAUGUAAUGUAUCUACACAAUCUUACGUCUAAUAUCAUAAGGACUUACAGCGCAAUCCAUAGAAGGUCGAAUAGGUGGCUUGCUUAGCCGGCUGUAUUCUUCCAGCAGUGCCCUGCUUGCUGAAACAUCUAUUGUAGGUUUUGGUGCAGCUUUAACACAUUUAUCCUCCAAGAUAUUUCCAUCCGAAACUUCAGACAUGAGCUACACAUGGGAUUUGUGCAGUAAGAUAAUACUAGAUGAAUAUUAGUAAACAUACAAAUUAGUACAGUGCAAUAAUCUUACUUUAUUAAUAGUAUAUACGACGUUAGCACACAAUUGGUUUGUUGGGUUCACAAAAUCUCCUUUGCAAUGCGUUACCGCAGCCUUCAAAAGAGGAAUAGGAAAAUGUUAUGCAAUAGUAUCACCCCACUCAAAUUGAGUGUAUGGAUUUGAUGUUACCUCAUAUAAUUGAUCAGAUAUAAUUCCAACGCCAUGAGAAUAGGGAACAUGGAAAUUUUUAUCGAAUUUCGAACCUGUUAUGGGGUUGCCAACUAUAUAUCCCUGUAACUGAUUUUGUAUUUACAAGAAAUAGUAAGAGACAUGAU